rnacentral:rRNA from 1 species
CACGACUACAUUAGAUACCCGUGUAGUCCUAGCCGUAAACGAUACUCGCUAGGUGUCGGCCACGGUGCGACCGUUGUCGGUGCCGUAGGGAAGCCGUGAAGCGAGCCACCUGGGAAGUACGGCCGCAAGGCUGAAACUUAAAGGAAUUGGCGGGGAGCACCACAACGGGUGGAGCUUGCGGUUUAAUUGGAUUCAACGCCGGAAAUCUUACCGGGACCGACAGCAACAUGAAGGCCAGGCUGAAGACUUUGCCGGAUUAGCUG